rnacentral:rRNA from 1 species
GAUGAACGCUGGCGGCGUGCAUAACACAUUCAAGUCGAACGAGAAUCUGUGCUUGCACCGAGAGGAAAGUGGCGGACGGGUGAGUAACGCGUGAGCAACCUACCUUAGUNAGGGGGAUAACACAGGGAAACUUGUGCUAAUACCGCAUAAUGUAUUGGGAUCGCAUGGUUCUGAUACCAAAGCUCCGACGCACUAAGAUGGGCUCGCGUCCGAUUAGGUAGUUGGUGAGGUAACGGCUCACCAAGCCUACGAUCGGUAGCCGGACUGAGAGGUCGAACGGCCACAUUGGAACUGAGAAACGGUCCAGACUCCUACGGGAGGCAGCAGUGGGGAAUAUUGCACAAUGGGGGAAACCCUGAUGCAGCGACGCCGCGUGAGUGAAGAAGUAUUUCGGUAUGUAAAGCUCUAUCAGCAGGGAAGAUGAUGACGGUACCUGACUAAGAAGCCCCGGCUAACUACGUG